rnacentral:rRNA from 1 species
AUUGAACGCUGGCGGCAGGCCUAACACAUGCAAGUCGAGCGGUAACAGGAAGCAUCUUGCUUCUUUGAGCGCGGGUCGCGGGAGGGUGGGCAAUGACUCGGCCACUGCGUGAUGGAGGAGGUUCACUACUGGGAACGGAUGCUACUACCGCAUAACGUCGCAAGGCCAAGGAGGUUGACCUCCCGCCCUCUCGCCUUCGGCUAUGCCCAGUUGGGAUUAGCUAGUAGGUGGGGUAACGGCACACCUAGGCGACGAUCCGUAGCUGGUCUGAGAGGAUGAUCAGCCACACUGGAACUGAGACACGGUCCAGACUCCUACGGGAGGCAGCAGUGGGGAAUAUUGGACAAUGGGCGAAAGCCUGAUGCAGCCAUGCCGCGUGUGUGAAGAAGGUCUUCGGAUUGUAAAGCACUUUCAGCGGGGAGGAAGGGAAGUAAGUUAAUACCUUGACUCAUUGACGUUACCAGCAGAAGAAGCACCGGCUAACUCCGUG